GUAGGGUGGGCAAGCGUUGUCCGGAAUUAUUGGGCGUAAAGCGCGCGCAGGCGGUCCUUUAAGUCUGAUGUGAAAGCCCACGGCUCAACCGUGGAGGGUCAUUGGAAACUGGGGGACUUGAGUACAGAAGAGGAAAGCGGAAUUCCAAGUGUAGCGGUGAAAUGCGUAGAGGUUUGGAGGAACACCAGUGGCGAAGGCGGCUUUCUGGUCUGUAACUGACGCUGAGGCGCGAAAGCGUGGGGAGCAAACAGGAUUAGGUACCCUGGUAGUCCACGCCGUAAACGAUGAGUGCUAAGUGUUAGGGGGUUUCCGCCCCUUAGUGCCGCAGCUAACGCAUUAAGCACUCCGCCUGGGGAGUACGGCCGCAAAGGCUG
rnacentral:rRNA from 1 species